rnacentral:rRNA from 1 species
AGAGUUUGAUCAUGGCUCAGAUUGAACGCUGGCGGCAGGCCUAACACAUGCAAGUCGAACGGUAACAGGAAGCAGUUUGCUGCUUUGCUGACGAGUGGCGGACGGGUGAGUAAUGUCUGGGAAACUGCCUGAUGGAGGGGGAUAACUACUGGAAACGGUAGCUAAUACCGCAUAACGUCGCAAGACCAAAGAGGGGGACCUUCGGGCCUCUUGCCAUCGGAUGUGCCCAGAUGGGAUUAGCUAGUAGGUGGGGUAAAGGCUCACCUAGGCGACGAUCCCUAGCUGGUCUGAGAGGAUGACCAGCCACACUGGAACUGAGACACGGUCCAGACUCCUACGGGAGGCAGCAGUGGGGAAUAUUGCACAAUGGGCGCAAGCCUGAUGCAGCCAUGCCGCGUGUAUGAAGAAGGCCUUCGGGUUGUAAAGUACUUUCAGCGGGGAGGAAGGGAGUAAAGUUAAUACCUUUGCUCAUUGACGUUACCCGCAGAAGAAGCACCGGCUAACUCCGUGCCAGCAGCCGCGGUAAUACGGAGGGUGCAAGCGUUAAUCGGAAUUACUGGGCGUAAAGCGCACGCAGGCGGUUUGUUAAGUCAGAUGUGAAAUCCCCGGGCUCAACCUGGGGACUGCAUCUGAUACUGGCAAGCUUGAGUCUCGUAGAGGGGGGUAGAAUUCCAGGUGUAGCGGUGAAAUGCGUAGAGAUCUGGAGGAAUACCGGUGGCGAAGGCGGCCCCCUGGACGAAGACUGACGCUCAGGUGCGAAAGCGUGGGAGCAAACAGGAUUAGAUACCCUGGUAGUCCAC